AACGCACAUUGCGCCCUUUGGCAUUCCGAAGGGCAUGCCUGUCCGAGCGUCAUUAUCCUCCCUCAAACCCCCGGGUUUGGUGUUGGACCGCGUUGGCCUUUUACCGGCCAACUGGUCUCAAAGACAAUGACGGCGUCCCCGGGACCCUCUUUGCACUGAGCUUUUCGGAGCACGCAGGGAGUUUCAAGGGCCCAGGGACCCGGUCGCCUCUAAACUAUUUUUCAGGUUGACCUCGGAUCAGGUAGGAAUACCCGCUGAACUUAA
rnacentral:misc_RNA from 3 species